GGGGGGCAGCAGUGGGGAAUAUUGCACAAUGGGCGCAAGCCUGAUGCAGCCAUGCCGCGUGUAUGAAGAAGGCCUUCGGGUUGUAAAGUACUUUCAGCGGGGAGGAAGGGAGUAAAGUUAAUACCUUUGCUCAUUGACGUUACCCGCAGAAGAAGCACCGGCUAACUCCGUGCCAGCAGCCGCGGUAAUACGGAGGGUGCAAGCGUUAAUCGGAAUUACUGGGCGUAAAGCGCACGCAGGCGGUUUGUUAAGUCAGAUGUGAAAUCCCCGGGCUCAACCUGGGAACUGCAUCUGAUACUGGCAAGCUUGAGUCUCGUAGAGGGGGGUAGAAUUCCAGGUGUAGCGGUGAAAUGCGUAGAGAUCUGGAGGAAUACCGGUGGCGAAGGCGGCCCCCUGGACGAAGACUGACGCUCAGGUGCGAAAGCGUGGGGAGCAAACAGGAUUA
rnacentral:rRNA from 1 species